GUUCUUAGUCGUAGGACAUAACCUAUGAUUAAGGACGUUAACUAAGAAACUCGAAGUGAGCUAUGAAUUGCUUUUGUUGAUACGAGUUUCUAGAUUGCUUAGGAGACAUGUUUGCAUGUUGCCAUAUUCAACUGUUGAAAAUGAAAGGUCGUCAACCAAAUGAGUAGUGUAGUUGUUCGAAUAACCUCGAACAGAACAAUCCACAUCCUUCGAGGUAAUACAAGACCGUCCUUAGUUCCCAUAGGGUAAUUCAGGUUAGGAUGUGGACGAUUUAAGAACUAGUGUCACCUGAAAUCAAACUGAGAACAGUACUACUAUGUGUAAGCACUCCGUUGGUCCAUUGGCUGAAUAAUCUUUAGUAAAUUGGAUUGGAAUAAAGAAAAGUGAGCUUAAACAUAAGAUGAACCAAUGACUCCAGACACGGAGGUACUGAUGUGAAUCUUCAGGAGGUGUGCUAACUCUUGGCGACGAAUUGUUGUACAGUUCUUUAAUCUCCUGAAAUAUUUUGUUUCUUCUCGCCAUUCUUGGGUAGGACAAAAAAUUAAUAAAUGGAAUCAAUCUAUAAAUAUAAUACAUGUUAAAAAGGUGUAUUAAAAUUGUCAAUAAGUAAUAAAAUUCUUAUUCUACUA